rnacentral:lncRNA from 1 species
AGUGCAGGCAAGGUCAACUAGAAGUCUCUAUCAUUUCGGAGAUGCCAAUACUGUGGGAUGACCACCAAGUACAGCAGCAGCAGAAGUUGUGUGCCAGAAUCUGUGAAAGUGAAGCCUGGGUCACCUUGGAGACCUCAAGUUGUUAGAGACCCCAGAGCAAUGGGACACCUGCCAAGGAAAGUUGCUAAUAGGGAAUGGAUCCAGCCCAAGAGAAAAGAAUUGUGUUGCAGUCAACGAAGUGGAAGAUAGUUGGAAAUCGGAAGAGCACUUUGACAUCAGACAUGUAGACACAGAAUUUGAAUUCUCCCAGCUGGUUUUUAGCCUUGCUUUGAAAUUGUCUUUUACCACAUGACAAGUCCGUUAUGCACCUUCGCCUGCACUGUGCCAUCGAACAGUCUAUCUGUGAGGCUUAAUGAAGACAAGAAUUCUAUAAAGGGUGAUUAUGAGGAUGCACUGACUCUUUCCAUCAAAUAUCUUCUAGUUUCAAAGUAUCAAGUAUUCACACAUCUUUUAAAGCUUUAGGAACUGGAAUUCACAGAGAAAAUAUGAACUGACAUUUAAAUAAAUGAGCAUUCAUCUCUUGUAUGGAAGAUAAACUUCAG